UGAGGAAUUUUGCGCAAUAGGGGAAACCCUGACGCAGCAACGCCGCGUGAGUGAAGAAGGCCUUCGGGUCGUAAAGCUCUGUCAAGUGGGACAAAAUCCUGUGGGUAAAUAGCCCGCGGGAGUGAUGGUACUGCUAGAGGAAGCACCGGCUAACUCCGUGCCAGCAGCCGCGGUAAUACGGAGGGUGCAAGCGUUGUUCGGAAUUACUGGGCGUAAAGCGCGUGCAGGCGGUUCGGUAAGUCAGAUGUGAAAGCCCUGGGCUCAACCCAGGAAGUGCAUUUGAUACUGCCGAGCUAGAGUAUGGGAGAGGAGAGUGGAAUUCCCAGUGUAGAGGUGAAAUUCGUAGAUAUUGGGAGGAACACCCGUGGCGAAGGCGACUCUCUGGACCAAUACUGACGCUGAGACGCGAAAGCGUGGGGAGCAAACAGG
rnacentral:rRNA from 1 species